rnacentral:lncRNA from 1 species
GUUCAUUUUUUUUUAAGAACUAUUUUUUAGUUGUAGAUGGACACAAUAUCUCUAUUUAUUUUUAUGUGAUGCUGAGGAUUGAACCCACUGCCUCACAGGAGUGAAGCAAGCAUUCUACCACUAAGCUAUAACCCCAGCCCAAAAUACUGUUAAUUUUUAAGCAGCAUAUUUAGUAAUGAGAUUAAAUAAGCUUGUUUAUUUGCUAAUUAAUGAUGGAGUUGACCUUCAAUAUUAUUGUACUUUCAUUUAUAUCUCUAUUCCAGAAAAAAUGUCUCUGGAGUAUUUAAUGCACUGCCAGGGCCUAUGGAACUAGCUGGAAGGCUGGCUGAGGGAGCAGCCUUGACAACCUCAGUUCCCGCAUGGCAUCACCGUGGACAUGCAGGGCGGUGGGGCAGACACAUGGCUUCAUGCCUUGUCUGUGGUUUCAAAGAACUGACACUCUUUAGAAACCCUAGAGUAGAAUUGGAGAAACAUUUUAAUAUGUAAUAAUAUCGUCUUCAAUUAGUUCUGUUCAAAAAACAUUAAACACAACUAGGUUGAUAAUUUCUCCUUUUCCAACGUCCCUACUCACUAUCUCUUUAUGCUAGUUUUCUGUCAUCUCAUUUUCACUCUCUGCUUCUUUUCAUACCCACCACGAAUCUAUCCUCUGCACUUAUUCUUGAUACCAGUUCUAGGAACAACAAAGUUGAUUUCCUACAACUCAAAUGUGAUUCUGGGGAGGGAAUAAGCUUUGGCCGUCGUUAUUGCCACAGUGAACUGACUGUUUCUAGAUCUGGUCCCCAAAGGGGUAUUUCAUCUGCUUCUGACUCCAAAAGCUUUAAUCAUUCCACCUACACAGAAAAUUUUAUCUUCCCAUUUUUUUUCAUUUAAAUUUUUAUAGAUAUAACUUACUGUAGGUGAAAUCAGAUACCAAGACAUAAAUCAAAUUCCAAAAAACUUGUGGUUCAAGUUACUAUUAAAUUGCUUCAUAAAUGAUCACAAUAGCACUCCAGAUUGCCUUUUAAGAUUAUAGCCUACUUUUCAGGAAGUUGACAAGUAUUUUAUUUCCUAAAUUGCCUGUUCACUUUCCUUGUUCACUGUCCUUGUUGUUCUAGACAGAAAAUGGCCCUUUCCAAAUCCAGCUCCUUCACUUUCAAAACUCAUCUUAAGCAAAGACUCAGUUACAUCAAAGCAGGGUCUGGGUGUUGGCAAAAAAAGGGAAAAAAAAAAAAAACAAGCAAACAAACUAAAAUAAAAUACAUUUCUCACUUAAGGUCUGAAUCUCCGUAGCUUUGUAAACCAUAUCAUACACAGAUUUAUGCCUUAAAAUAAAGAAAAUAAAUCAGUAGGCAUAGGAAGCCUGCCUUUGCAAAGCUCUUAAUUUCAAACAAGUGUUUCCAGUAAUGAUUUAGAAGCCAGCAGGAAGAGAGGAGGUGAAUGUGUUGUUGCAGGGUGUUGUCCCUAAAUAGCAUGUCCCUCACAACUGGCAGGAAGCACCUGGGGGAUUAUUUGCUUUAGAAAUUUGGAGAUAAAUCUUUUUUUUUAAAUAAGUGGAAAAUUAAUUGGUUUCUAACUUUCAGUGCCUUUAACAUUUAUAAAAAUAGUCUGAAUUCUGAUGGUAAUGGGUUCAAGGUAAUGAUAAUAAUAAUCUGAUAAUAAUAAUGCAAGUUAAGUAAAAUGCAUAUCAAUGUCAAGAUAAGAAGUUGAAAUUAGACAUUUUAGCUUUAACUCUGAAUCUGCUUUUCUUACUUUGACGGAGUUGACCUUCAAUAUUAUUGUACUUUCAUUUUUACAGCUCUUUACAUAUUCUGUAAAAAAGCUUAAAAGUGAAACAAAAAUUUUUUAACCAUUAAAAAUUGUACUGCCC